UACGUAGGGUGCGAGCGUUGCCCGGAUUUAUUGGGCGUAAAGGGCGCGUAGGCGGCUCGGCACGUCCGUUGUGAAAUCGCCCGGCUCAACUGGGCGGGGUCAGCGGAUACGGUCGAGCUUGAGCAAGCUAGGGGGCAAUGGAAUUCCCGGUGUAGUGGUGGAAUGCGUAGAUAUCGAGAGGAACACCUGCGGCGAAGGCGGGUUGCUGGGCUGAUACUGACGUGAGGCGCGAAAGCAUGGGGAGCGAACAGG
rnacentral:rRNA from 1 species